UAGGGAAUCUACGGCAAUGGACGAAAGUCUGACUGAGCAACGCCGCGUGAGUGAAGAAGGUUGUCGGAUCGUAAAACUCUGUUGUUAGAGAAGAACAAGGACGUUAGUAACUGAACGUCCCCUGACGGUAUCUAACCAGAAAGCCACGGCUAACUACGUGCCAGCAGCCGCGGUAAUACGUAGGUGGCAAGCGUUGUCCGGAUUUAUUGGGCGUAAAGCGAGCGCAGGCGGUUUCUUAAGUCUGAUGUGAAAGCCCCCGGCUCAACCGGGGAGGGUCAUUGGAAACUGGGAGACUUGAGUGCAGAAGAGGAGAGUGGAAUUCCAUGUGUAGCGGUGAAAUGCGUAGAUAUAUGGAGGAACACCAGUGGCGAAGGCGGCUCUCUGGUCUGUAACUGACGCUGAGGCUCGAAAGCGUGGGGAGCAAACAGG
rnacentral:rRNA from 1 species